AUUGAACGCUGGCGGCAGGCCUAACACAUGCAAGUCGAGCGGAUGAAGGGAGCUUGCUCCUGGAUUCAGCGGCGGACGGGUGAGUAAUGCCUAGGAAUCUGCCUGGUAGUGGGGGAUAACGUCCGGAAACGGGCGCUAAUACCGCAUACGUCCUGAGGGAGAAAGUGGGGGAUCUUCGGACCUCACGCUAUCAGAUGAGCCUAGGUCGGAUUAGCUAGUUGGUGGGGUAAAGGCCUACCAAGGCGACGAUCCGUAACUGGUCUGAGAGGAUGAUCAGUCACACUGGAACUGAGACACGGUCCAGACUCCUACGGGAGGCAGCAGUGGGGAAUAUUGGACAAUGGGCGAAAGCCUGAUCCAGCCAUGCCGCGUGUGUGAAGAAGGUCUUCGGAUUGUAAAGCACUUUAAGUUGGGAGGAAGGGCAGUAAGUGAAUACCUUGCUGUUUUGACGUUACCAACAGAAUAAGCACCGGCUAACUU
rnacentral:rRNA from 1 species